UCUGGUGACCCUCGCCCGUGAUAUUGCUGGAAUAUUGCUAAAGCGGCGUAAAACCAUACUCACAUACUCACAUAUUGUCUUAACAUUCCAAUGGCAAGUGGCGUUUGGUUUGAUUUGAUAUGACUUAAAGCUUGUGUAGAAUACUCUUUGUACCUGCAACUUGAGAUCGUCACUGUGUCAACUUAAAGCACACAUACAGCCCAUUCAAUAUUAUUCAGUUAUUGUGACGACAAUAACAUUUAUUGUAACUUCCUAGUUGUUCAAACGCUAAACACAUUGUACAUUCAGAAAGUCGAAGUGUACUGAGCAUAACGGUGCUAAUAAUGUUUCCCUGUGCAUAUACCUUCCUUGUCGUUCGGAAGCUGUACACAUAAGUCAUGCAUUUGUCAUACAUAGUUGACACGAUCUGUAAACACGAUCCGGGCUGUUCAACAUGGUUGGCUUUAGGAUCUUUGGUGUUGCAAUCCUCUCGGGACUGAUAGAGCUGACAUCGGGUUCCUGCCCACAAGGAAUGUUUGGAGACUCCUGUAGAUACUCCUGUCACUGUGCAUCUUGUAACGAGACAACAGGUGCCUGUUCAGAUCCCCUGCGACUCUGGUUGGAUUAUGGGAGGAAGCAUGUGCCAGAAGCAAAACAUUGCUCUGAACAAGACAGCAUCAACAACAUCUGGAGUGGAGGAAGGUUGGUCCCCAUCAAAGGCCGUGGAUGGAGACAAUGACACUGAUGGUGAGGGCAGAACCUGUUUCCACGCUCUAAGAUCUCGGUCAGACUGGACAGUGGAUCUGGGCUCGGGACUUCCAGCUGUAUGACAUCAUCAGGAUUUACAGUAGAAAUGGAUCUCACUGGAGAAACGCCAACUCUACCAUCUACCUGAACAACACUACCAACACCAACACCACCAACUGCUCUACCCUCCCGAGUUCAUCCAAAACCACCACCAGCCAAACUGAUGUGACGUGUAACG
rnacentral:lncRNA from 1 species